CUGGGAAACUAGAGCUUCGCGAGCAGAGAGGAGUAUGUCCUAUUAGGUUGUUGGUGGGGUAAUUGCCUACCAAGCCGAUGAUGGGUAGCUGGACUGAGAGGUCGACCAGCCGCAAUGGGAUUGAAAUACGGCCCAUAUCCUACGGAAGCAGCAGUGAGGAAUUUUUCACAAUGGACGAAAGUCUGAUGGAGCAAUACCAU
rnacentral:rRNA from 1 species